rnacentral:tRNA from 1 species
GCUCAGGUGGUGGAAUUGGCAGACACGCAUGUUUGAGGGGCAUGUGCCGAAAGGUGUAGGGGUUCAAGUCCCCUCCUGAGCACCA